rnacentral:rRNA from 1 species
GCGCGAAAACUGCACAAUGUGGGAAACCACGAUGCGGGAAACCCAAGUGCCAGCACUAUGUGUUGGCUGUCCUCCAGUGUUCGUAACUGGGGAAGAAAGAGCUGGGUAAGACGGGUGCCAGCCGCCGCGGUAAUACCCGCAGCUCAAGUGGUGGUCAUUAUUAUUGGGCCUAAAGCGUCCGUAGCUGGUUUGUUAAAUGCCUGGGUAAAUCGAUGCGCUCAACGCAUCGAAUUCCGGGUAGACUGGCAAACUCGAGACCGGGAGAGGUGUAGGCUACUCGAGGGGUAGGGGUAAAAUCCUGUAAUCCUUCGGGGAGGACCAGUGGCGAAGGCGCUACACUAGAACGGCUCUGACAGUGAGGGACGAAGCCCUGGGGCGCAAACCGG